CCUCUCAGCAGGUUACCAGACACAACCCGUCAGCCCUGUGCGACUCGGCUGCCUACCCAGCAUUCCAUGGAGCUUUAGACAAAGGAUUUUUGGCACGACAUUCGCCUUCAAGUGAGAGGCAGUUGCUGGGUGUAGAGUGUCCGUGGAUGUGCUCCAGAGCAGCAGGUGCACUUGCAGACUCCAGAAUGGGACAAGCCCGUGUGGACCCUGCUGUCCGAGUGUCACGAGGCUAUCGAACCUUCGCUGGAUGUAAUGUGACGUGUCUUAAUGAACUCAAAAUACGCAAUUCAAGUGUGGCCAGUCAUGAGAGAGGGCAGCGCCAUUAGUGAUUAUGAGUCUUCAAUAUAGGCCUCAAUCCUGAAAUUCAAGAGCUGUGACUGGAAUGUGAGACGUCACCUGGUCACCAUGGUUACCCUUGUGUAACAGCUGCUCUUUGUUCUAGGGAGAGGGCACUGUUGUGUGUGAGUGUGUGUGUGUGUCAGAGAGAGAGAGAGAGAGAGAGAGAGAGAGACAGUCACAUGUGGCCCUUGACAUGUUCUUUUGUGAUCGGAUGUCAUGUGGUGUUUCCUUAUCAGAUACAAGCACCCACAUAGAAAAAAGGGUUAAAGAUCAUCACCGGGAGGGAUUUAUCUGUUUAUAAAAUCAGUUCCAUGUUGUCCCUUCAGCACAUUUGGAUUUCCACUCCUGUCCACUGCCGACACGGUUGUGACUGUGUGGUUUCUGAGAAAUAUGAAAUGAAGGAACAUGACCAGAACAUGUUGGACUUGUGUGAACUUGUGUGAUGUAACAAUGAAUGUUGAGGAACCCUGAUGUUUCUUGAGUUGGUAUUCGACAAACAACACAACUUGAAAACAUGAAAUGUAAUAUUUACUGC
rnacentral:lncRNA from 1 species